CUGGGGUAUAGCCUUUAGAAAUGAAGAUUAAUCCCCCAUAGUCUCUUAGAGUGGCAUCACUUCUAGAGUAAAGGUUACGGUAUAAGAUGAGUAUGCGUUCUAUUAGUUUGUUGGUGUGGUAACGGCACACCAAGACUACGAUAGAUAGGGGCCCUGAGAGGGGGAUCCCCCACACUGGUACUGAGACACGGACCAGACUCCUACGGGAGGCAGCAGUGAGGAAUAUUGGACAAUGGAGGCAACUCUGAUCCAGCCAUGCCGCGUGCAGGAAGACUGCCCUAUGGGUUGUAAACUGCUUUUAUACAGGAAGAAACACCUCUACGUGUAGAGGCUUGACGGUACUGUAAGAAUAAGGAUCGG
rnacentral:rRNA from 1 species